GAUAAUUUAGGCUCAGUCGUUUUUCUAUCUAUUUGAUUAAACGUAUGAAUGUCUCUUAUCGGCGUUGUCGACGACGCUCCAUCUCCACCGGUUGCUUCUCCUUAACUCACGCUCCAUGCCGUUUCACCAUCUGAUGCGAAUUGAAGUCUUCCAGUCCUCUACACUUUCACUUAUCCUUCCAUAUCUUCCAUCACAAUUGCUACGGUUUCGUUUGUAACUGUUAAAUAUGUUCUUCCAUCUUCUCUGAUUUAAUGAACAGUCCACUACUUCUCCCUUAAAUUGCCGUAAGUUCUUCUGUUAUAUAAACCAACCUCUAGCCAGAUUCCGACUUAGGGUUUCCUCCAUGUUGAUUUAUAUCAGUUCUACCAUCGUCACAAAGAGGAUUUCUAAGUCUUUCUCGUAUUACGUGAUUCGAUUUAAACAAGUUUUGGAAUAAGCAACGGAUCUUGUUCCAAGAGCAGCUCUCUAAGAAAUGAGCUUGAGAAUGGUGUUGAUGAAGAAGAGCAUGAUCUGCAAUGGGGUGGGAUCCAGAGAUUUCCCACUUUUAAACGGUUGCGGUUUUCUCUGGUGGAAAACCAUGGCGAGGCUGCAGAGAAAGGGAAAAAGGUUGUUGAUGUCACCAAGCCUAAAGCCAUGGAACGUCAUCUGAUGAUUGAGAAGCUCAUCAAACACAUUGAGAAUGAUAAUCUCAAGCUGCUCAACAAAAUCAGAAGAAGGAUGGACAGGGUCGGUGUGGAGUUCCUGAGCACAGAGGUGAGGUAUGAGCAUUUAGGCGUGGAAGCAGAAUGUGAGGUCGUUGAAGGGAAGGCACUUCGUCUUUAUGGAACUCUUUGAAGCAUGUUUUCUUAGUGAGUAUACUGAAGAAUGUAAUGUGGAGUUUAACUUUUGUAGUAGCUGGGGUUGAAUUAAAUUCUAAUCUUUUUUCUUCAGGACUUGAUUAGCUACUUAAUUAUGUUUUGUGUGGAAUCUUCAUAUCCUCGGGCUUGAUAUUUGUGCAGAAACAUUGGUUGGAAAUGCAAUGAGAUGAGGCAUAUCCGGCGGGCAAGAGAAGUGUCUUACCACAUGUUAGUUAGUUCAUAGCCAAGAGUUCUCUAUCUGAUUCACCUUGUUCUUAGGAUAUGAAUGAACUCAGUUUUUUGGGUGAUUGGAGUUUGUAUGUAUAGAUCUUUUACCAAUCUGACUUCAUUUUAGUUUCCCACGAAUUUGUAAUAUCUAUUUAGUUUAUUGCAGGUUUCUCAGUCACCAUCACCGUAACAUGUGAGUGAUUUCUGACUUCUUUUUUUUGUUACUUGAGUUUUGAUAAUUGAAUAAAAAUUGUUCACUUCAAAGGUUUGAUACGUAUAUGCAUUGAUAUUUGAUACUGUGGACAAAGUUAUUUUCCUUCAGUAUCCAUUUUCUUUUAUGUUUGAUCACCAUAAGUUAAUUUCUUACAGUGGAACAUCUCUAAUAUGGUAAAAACUUCUCAUCAUUUCUAAUAGGGGAAGAAACUUCUCGUCUUUGGGACAACAAGUGAACUAACCUUCUUAGAUUCUGUUGGUAUCUGUGAUUCCUUCUCUGUCACAGAUACUAACAGAAUCUAACUGCACAUCAAUCUCGAUUCUUUAGUUGGUUAAAUUCUCAGUUGUUUUUCUUCCUUUUGUUUCUGUGCUUCAGGUGCUACAGCAGCUAAACCUCUUCUCAGAGGAUGAUGCCGAUGCAGCUGCAGAGGCUCUCAAUGACAUGCCAAUCAAGAAGCUUUACAUGUUAUUAGAGAUGGCUGCACAAGGAGAACGCGGGGGAUCUGCAGAAGCUAUCUAUGCUGGGAGAGAGAAGUCAAAAUCACUCAUUUCUUUGAUUGCCUACAAGACAUCAUUCGGUUCUAAAAACUUCAAACAUAUACGUCUCAUGCUCCAUUGGCGUGACCUUUUCAAGACUUCCUUUGGAGCAUCUUUUAAUCGAUUUUGGUUUUGUUUUUGAAACAAAUUUGACCCUUGGAUUUAUGUUUUCUGGUGGAGGAAUUGUACUGAGAAGGGGCUAUGAUGCUGUAUUAUUCGUUUUCUUUAUUUUGCGGAUGAAACACAACAUGUCUUUUGAUUUUAGUUAUUAAUUCGUGGUUGGCUUGACUCCUGAA